rnacentral:rRNA from 1 species
UACGUAGGGCGCAAGCGUUAUCCGGAAUUAUUGGGCGUAAAGAGCUCGUAGGCGGUUUGUCGCGUCUGCCGUGAAAGUCCGGGGCUCAACUCCGGAUCUGCGGUGGGUACGGGCAGACUAGAGUGAUGUAGGGGAGACUGGAAUUCCUGGUGUAGCGGUGAAAUGCGCAGAUAUCAGGAGGAACACCGAUGGCGAAGGCAGCUCUCUGGGCCUUACCUGACGCUGAGGAGCGAAAGCGUGGGUAGCGAACAGG